rnacentral:rRNA from 1 species
GACGAACGCUGGCGGCGUGCUUAACACAUGCAAGUCGAACGGAAAGGCCCUGCUUUUGUGGGGUUCUCGAUUGGCGAACGGGUGAGUAACACGUGAGUAACCUCUCCUUGUCUUUCUGGUAACUUCAGGAAACUGGGGCUAUUAUCGGAUAUAAUCUCUUGCUGCAUGGUGUUGGUUGGUAAGUUACGGCGGUUGUGGAUGUACUCGCUGGUUAUCCGCUGGUUUGUGGGGUAGUUGCUUUCCAAGGUUUUGACGGGUAGCCUGCCUAGGAGAGUGACCGGGCACAAUGGGACUGAGAGAGGGAGCAGAAUGGUACGGGACGCAGUAGUGGAAAAUAUUGCAGAAUGGGCGGAAGCCAGAGACAGAAAUGCCGCGUGCGGGAUGACGGCCUACGGGGUGUAAACAGAUUUCGAAGGUGACGAAGCGUGAGUGACGGUACUGAGUCAAGAAGCAACGGCUAACUACGUG